ensembl:lncRNA
CUUUAUUCCUUUAAACUGUGGUCCUUACAAGCUGCUACUCAAAUUGCUCUCAUUUAGGUUCCUGAUGUUCAUCUGUGAUCUGCAGGGAUUGCUCUGCUGCUCUGAAUUGCACCAGAGCAAUCCCAGCCAACUGAACAGACGCUCCUCUUCACUCCUCUGCUUUAUGGUGAUGAUGCCACUGGUACUGGACCUUUGGAGACACAGUUACUUCUCCUGAUCACCACUGGGUUCCUUCACAGCCUGCUGUUACUCCUGCUUCUCUGAAGUAUAUACUCUUAUGUUGGAUGGGAAAAUAUGGCCUCUAACAACAUGAGUAACAUCCUUUCACUGCACACCAGUUGCACAUAGAGAAGAGGAAAACUAGAAUGUCAAGAAGGAAAAAGCACCAUCUCUUUUACCUGUCAGUACUAGGACCUACAGACCUUUCCAUCUUAAUUUAUCAUGAAGACCUAGCUAAAAAUACAGUUCCUGACAAGUGGUUCCAAAUAAAUUAAUUGAAAACAUCAACAAGAAAGAUCAUUGACACUUCUGCUAGUUUUACUUUCCUGCAAAAUGAAUCAUUCUGGGUACUGCUGUUUCUUCUGUAGCCUGGAGUAUAACUGUUUACACAUUUAAAAGAGGAUUGUUCAGCUCAUGCAGUCACCUUGGAAAAUGCCAACCAGAUUCCUUUAUGAUGGAACUAAACUGGGAUAUAUUCCCUGGAAGCAUUGUGAAAAUACACCAACUGCAAAAAGGGACAAAGCUCAUGGGCAACACAAGGACCAAUCUAAAUUAAACUCCCCUUGAAAUGUGUACAUCGGGGACACUGGAUCUUAAACAUUAUUUGUUUUGUUUUGCAAAUCUACUGCUUAGCUACACUGCUAGACCAUACAUAACCCUGAAGACCAUAAAGUUUAUUCACUGAAUGCUGAACUUCUCUGAAAAUCUAAAUGUGAGAAUGACAAAAAGCAGUUCACAGACAUUGUAAUUCUUCUCUGCACAGAUAAAUGCACAGUGUCUCAAAAAUACUUCAACAGAGUCUUUUGAAAAUCCAUGGCAUCAUCGGAGAAACAGAUCUGACUGAUUUUGUCUGAAAAAAAAAUUUAGAAGAUGGUUUCAUUUGUAUUUUAGCACAGGAAAUUGUCAGAAGUCUGCCAACAGUUCUGUAAAAUUCUCCAUCUCCUCACUACUUCUUCAAUCUGCAUCCUUUCCCUAAUGAAAUAUACCAUCUCUGCUAUCAAUUCAGCAGUGUGCAAGCACACGCUCAGCUUUCUAGGAGCAAUUCAGUAACAUUCAACCACCCAGAUGUCUGGAAAUGUCUUCACCAGGAACCUGGCAUAACUGGUACAGAUGCUGAAGGAACCUGGGUGAUGGUUGGCAAAAAAGAGGGACUAAUACAAUUAAAAGAAGAUUAUACAAUUGCUGUCAACAACUCAGAUUGGAUGAAAUAUCAGUGCAUCAUACAUGAAGAUAAUUUAUAUGUGCAAGCUUUAAACAUGGAUAAUGUCUUGUGAAUUUCAUGAAGAAGAGAUCGAAUCAUUGCUAAUUCCGAAGUUCAGUAAAAGUAUGAAUGCUCACCAUAGGGAGAUCGCUUACUUUUCUGAAGGAAGGUGGCUGUAUUGGGACAGUAUGUACAUUUGUGAACAACCGUUUUCAAGGAUGAAACACAGGAAGAGUAAAAUUUCACCAAAAAUCUCUGAUGAACACCUUGAGAACUCACAGAGAAUUGCAACCACUGCUAUAAAACCAGACAUUAAUGCAUUACUUUCACAAAAAAAGCUCUUGGUUGCAACUGACUCCCAGUCCUUGGACUCCCACCCACUUCAUAAUUAAGUGCCCUACCUGAAAAGAAGGAUGUGGUUUGUUUUCUGAGUGAGGAGAGAGAAGCUAAAUAUUUCCACUCCUGUAUAACAGAAAAUCCUCUGAUUUCAACGAGAUCACACCCCGAGUGGUUAGUUAAUACUGGAAACAUAAAAAGAAUAGAUAUACAUCAGAGGAAACCGCGUCCAUCUUCCCUAGUGGAGAACAUCAUGAUGUUCUGCAGUGACUGCACUGGGCUAGGAAAAGAAAUGACUGCUGCUGGUAAGUGAACAGAAAAACAGAAGAGUGACUAACUAGGUCUGCAACAGGGAUAACAUCUCACUUUGCUUGGAACAGUACUGCAGCAGAACCCUGCAGUAUAGGAGCAGAAGUCUACUUCAUUAAAUACUGUAUGAUUAUAUGAAGUGUUAAAACACAGAAAUCACUACCAACUAUACUACCCAUCAUAACAUGCUCAGUUUGGACUUUGAGCUACCUUCAAAACUUUUUUAUUUUUAAUUAUUUUUUUAAAUAUAACAGUUCUGCCCAACACCAGAAUGGAUGAAGUAUAUAGCAGCUUUUGUGAACACACACUGUGUUUGAAAACUAUGUUAUGUAUAUUUUAAUUUGGAGGUCAAAUUCUGUGGGUUCCCCUUAUUUAGGUUGUGCCAGCCCAUGGAAUCAACUAAAGUAACAUGGAUUUGGCCAUACAUCAGAGCAGGAAAGCAUACCGCAAAGAACCAUGGUUUUAUGUCUGUGCAGUUAUGCCACAUUCUCACCUUUAUGAGGCAUGGCUUGCAGCCAUGCAGAGGGAAGAAUGUGUGGAAAUCAGGAACCCAUGGAAAUAUUCUUCUAAACCCAUAGAGCUGAUGCCAUUUGAGCAUAAACAUUAACAUUCUAAUCUAAAACGUUUUAUUCUUUACUGAAACUGACGUUAAGUGCAGUGAAUAACAUAAUCACUGAACAAUCCCAUGUGAUGGCGAAUGCUGUUGUUUUCAACAAAGACAAAACCAAAAGUAUAGACACUUACCUUCCUUCCCUCCUUUCUUUUUGCACUUUUUCAGUUCUUUCCUUCUCUUCCCUCAUUCUCCCUUGUUCUAAUUUUUUACAGAGGAAAAGAAAAUAAAAUGUUGAAACAGCAAAAGAAAUCUUUAAAGAAAUUGAUAUUUUGAAAGGUAAAUGUUAAAUAAAAUUGUGAGAAGAGCUUUUC